CGGACGGGUGAGUAAUGUCUGGGAAACUGCCUGAUGGAGGGGGAGUAACUACUGGAAACGGUAGCUAAUACCGCAUAACGUCGCAAGACCAAAGAGGGGGACCUUCGGGCCUCCCUUGCCAUCGGAUGUGCCCAGAUGGGAUUAGCUAGUAGGUGGGGUAACGGGCUCACCUAGGCGACGAUCCCUAGCUGGUCUGAGAGGAUGACCAGCCACACUGGAACUGAGACACGGUCCAGACUCCUACGGGAGGCAGCAUG
rnacentral:rRNA from 1 species